GCCGGGAAUGAAGUUCUCCCACGGGCAACCGAAACCGCUUUUGAAAAGCUGAUGACUUCUGCGA
rnacentral:ncRNA from 1 species